rnacentral:lncRNA from 1 species
GUUUCGUAUAGCAAAAUUCCAUAAAAGUUUGACAAAGUUAUUGAUGCCUGAAAGAAUUGACAUUAACAAAUUCUGGAUACUGUCUAUGAACCACAGAUAAACUUUAGUACAAGUUUUAUAGAAUUACAUGAAGGUUGGAAGAAGUUUUGAUGCAUGAAAAAUCACAAGCUGAUCCUUAAUUUUUGCUGAUUGCAAAGGAAUGAACAUCACUAUGUUUCGCUUCCAAGACUUUCGUUGCAUAAUCAAUAUACUAGUAAACAUAAAAAAGUUUAAAAAAAUAUUAGUGGCAUCUGGAAAAGCAACUUUUGUCUUUUACUUGGAACUACC